rnacentral:rRNA from 1 species
UACGAAGGGUGCAAACGUUGCUCGGAAUUAUUGGGCGUAAAGCGCACGUAGGCGGCAUUGCAAGUCGGAUGUGAAAUCUUAUGGCUUAACCAUAAAAGUGCAUCCGAAACUGCAGUGCUUGAGUACUUAAGAGGAUCGCGGAAUUCCCGGUGUAGAGGUGAAAUUCGUAGAUAUCAGGAGGAACACCGGUGGCGAAGGCGGCCACCUGGACGGUCACUGACGCUGAGACGCGAAAGCGUGGGGAGCAAACAGG